ACAAACAAACAGUUCUCUAGCUGCAGUCGACUGCAGAGUGUAAACUCUGUUUUUCCGCUUCAAAAGUUACACCAGGGAAAACAUCCCAAAGUCUUAAAAGAAAACUUUGCACUUUAAGAAACAGAAACUGAAUAAAUGGAGGCGGGUGUUCCGGGUGGAGGUCGCAUUCUCCUGGAGGCAGCAGGUGGUGGCUGCGCACGGGGCACCACGGAUCUCUGGCUGCCCUGACGGUGGACCAGGAAAGCCAACCUGGUCCACGCUGAAGUGGACGGCUUGGCGGUUUUCCAAUGACGCCUUUUUUAUGAAGACAGUUAAGGACCUAGAUUUGGUCCACGGCUGUCAGUUCACCCUCCGCAGGUGAAGAGGACGGGAUUGAGCCUUUUACAGAUACGGUCCAGCUCCUCCUUUGCCCAUUCCCUCUGGGUGACCCUGACCAUGUGUAAGGUAACGGCAGCUGCUUCUUACUUUGUGAGGACGGAUGGGGUGGCGCCUAGCGAGCUCAGGGUGCGUCCUGGUGCCCAGGAACUGCUCGUGACACACAGCCACCAGGCAGCUGCGUCCUCCAGGAAGAAACAGGAAGGGACAGGCGGUGGCCUGCCGCGGGGCUGCGGUAAUGGGGGUGAUUCCUGGUAAAUGGGGGCGAGGGGGGAAGCCAGAGCCCACGCUGCCUUUUCCUCCCUCCUUGGUGGCCCUGUUUUCACCCACUAAGUCGUCCCCAGCAGCAGGGGAAGCCGCAGGCCGCCUGGGGCUGCAGGGAGCACUGUGGCCUGAGCGCCCACGGCCCUGGGAUCUCUGCGCUCCUGGGAAACCCUCCUAGACUGGGACUCGUGAGAUCUGUCCCUUGAUCUCCAUUCUGGCCGUCACCGACAGACACAUCACCUUGGGAAAGUGUGGCACCUCUUUGGGACUUAGCUUACCUGGGAUGGGACGGUCCCAAUGGCCUCUGCAAGAAUUCUGAAGGAGGAAAGGACACCUUUGACAACUGUGUAGAAACCGGAAACUGAAACUCAGGUCGUACUGGAAGGUGAACUUGGCCCAUCAAAGCCCUCACUUUUGACCGUGUCCUUCCCCAAGAAGCAGAGAGCAGCAGGGACUGCUGGCCAGUGGGGGCAGGAUGCCGGGGGUCGCCAGAGUGAAGGACGCUUCCAGAAGUCACCAGGGAGUCUGGCUGGACAGGGCAGAGCCGGCCAGGGGAAGUCCAGACACGGGAGCUGACCCCUCAGUCAGGGUCAGCCCAGAGCCCACUCCCGGGUCAGGCUGGAGGAGCUGUCCAUGGGGAGAGGAAAGCAGGUCGCCUCUUCCUGAGCCAGCUCUAUGUGUCCUGGGUUCCUCUCUCUCUUGUGUGGUUCCAUUUAGAUUUGUCACAUUUCAGAACAAACACAAAAUUCCUGUG